AAACUCUCAGCUGCAGAGUAAGAUAUCCAUCUGUUUCAUCGGAGUGGACCCUAGUACUGACUGCGCAAUGACAAGAUUCCAAUGAAUGGAAAGCAGGAUUGCUUGGAGCUGGAAUCUGUUUGAGUGUUGGACUGAGUGGAUUCUUCAUCUUCAAGUGUGUGAGAAAAUGGAGCAGCACAGGAAGAGGUCAUUCAGCCCAAGCAGAGCGUUUGGGCAGUUACUCCCCAGGUGGGCAGUCGGACAGGUACUGGAAGAGAGGGGAC